CAAAUCCCACUGAAACCACCGAUUCUCGUUUGAUCACCGAAGUUAAGCUUCCUUGGAUGCGGUCAGUGCUUAGAUGGUGAACCGCUUGGGAAAACCGGGUAUCGUA